rnacentral:lncRNA from 1 species
UACAUCAGACCCAAUAACCCCCCAAACCUUAACCCAAAUCAAACCCAUUCCCAAUACAUUACCCAAAUCAUUAAGCCCAUUAUCCAAACCCUACCCAAUCAGCUACCCGGAGCCCAAUGUUACCCACAAGCCCGUUUGCAAUAUUCAUCCCCAACCCACCUAAACCCAAAUCUACCUAUAACCUAAACACUCAACUCCAAGCCCAGAAGCCCAAUUUUAGACAUUAGGGUUUCAGUUUCUGAAACCCUAAACCUGCCUAGCGCCGCAACCACCCCCACCAACCCUCUGACGACCCCAUGCCCUCUAACGUUGCCUCAACAACCGCUCCACCAUCCUCCAUAUUGCACCAUCCCCUGCAUGCAUUAAAAGAGAAUAGACAGCAAGUAAGAAGAGAGCAGUAUAUAAUCAAAACAUACAAUGUAAAAAGGGGGUUCCUUUUUUCGUCAGUUUUGAAAACAAAAAGAAAUAAGAACAAACCAUUUCAAAUAUUAAGCAACAAUAGCAUUUCCCUCAGUACUUAGACACAAAAAAAUAGCAACCAAGCAAAAAGAACAUCUCAGAUCAAAGAAACAGAAACUAAAACCGAAAGGUGAUUAUUUUUUUCCUAUUUCUAUUUCAUUUUUUUAACCUGUUUUAAUCUACCAUACAUAUUAAAAUAUAAUAAGAUAAUAAAAAAAUAACAAAAAAUGAACCUUUUUGAACUUUCGACCACCGUGUACGGUGGCCGGAGCCGGUGCCGGCGUCGACGAGCCUCCAAUGACCGUCCGGUGACCGGUUUCCCCACCGAAAAUCACCCCGUGCUCCCCUCUCCCUCAUUUUUUUUUCUUUUCCCUGUCCAAAUGUUUUUUUUUUCAGAUUUUUAGGCUAUUUAUAGCCUACCAAAACGGCACCGUUUUGGUACCAAAAUGGCACCGUUUUGGUGCCCAAACUUAGACUAAAAAAUGACGUCGUUUUACUUGGCCCGACCCGAUUCGACCCGAACCCGCUUCAGGAUCCGCGUGUUUUUAACUCAAUGGGAUAUUUGUGCAAUCGGUCCUUCCGCAUUUUUGUGUUUUAAAUCAAGUUUAUAUUUAUUUAUAAAUCGGCCCUAAAAUUUAAUCUGAUUUGCGAUCUAGUCCCUCCGUGCUGCACAGCGUUUUGGUGAAAGGGAAUAUUUGCUGUUUUAACCCUCCUAAGUUAUGCGCGCGUGGCAUUUUGGUCCUUCCCUGCUAUUUUAUUUCUAAUUUCGCCCCAAAAUGUUGUUUUAAGUUCAAUUUAGUCCUUUGGUUAAUUUACUGCUUUAUUUUUAAUUUACUUGUUUUCAUUUUCUGUAUUUUAUUUGUUAUAAUAUUUAUAUUUGUUAUAUUAAAUGUAUUUAUUAUAUGUCUUUUAAAUAUUAUGUUAUAUAUAUGUAUUUUCAAUAUUGUUGUUAUAUUUAUUAUUAUUAUAUAUAUUUGUUCUAGUAUAUAUGUAUAUAUUUACACGUAUAGGUUUAUUUUUAUUUCAAUAUCUUUAUUAUAUUUGUUUUUGGUAUUUUAAUAAUAUUGUUAUAUUAUUAUAAUAGUGUAUACUUUUAUUUAUGUACAUAGAUUUAUAUAUAUGAUGUAUUUUUGUUAUAUUAUAUUGUAUUUUAAUAUCGUUACUAUUAUAAUUGCUAACAUAGUGAAUGCCUUGUUAUAUAUGUAUAUGUUUUUAUGUCAUCAUUGUUGAUUAUCAUUAACUUUAAUAUGUGUCUCAUUAUAUGUCCUUAAAUAUACAUAUAGAUAUAUAUACAUGCAAUAUUAUAAUAGUUUUCUUUGACAUCAUUAUCUCCAAUAUAUGUAUAUGUUAUGUAAAUAUUUUAAUGUCAUAUUAUAUAUACAUUUUUACACUAUGCAUACAUACUUUUAACAUUAUAUUUUAUAUGUAUACUCUUAACAUCAUAUUAUAUAUAUAUCUUGCACAAAAUUUUUAAUACUUUACUAUAUAUACCUUUAUAUAUUAUAUAUAUAUUUUAGUAUUAUGUUUUUAUAUCUAUGUUUUAAUACCAUACUAUAUAUAUUAUUAUAUUUUAUUACAUAAUUAGUACCCAUGUUUUAUUAUACAUAUAUAUAUACUCUUUUAUUUGUGUUAUUUCCGUAUGUCAUAUUAUUCAUUUUUAUACUCAUUAUUUUCAUUAUUGUCACUUAUAUAUUAUUAUUUGGUGUACAUACAUCUUUUAUUAUUAUUAGUAUAUAAAUGUAUUUUCCUUGUCUAUAUUGUUCCUAAUAUAUAUUGCACAUGUUCAUUUAUACUAUGUGUACAUGUAUCUAGUAUAUAUAUAUUUAGUAUUAUUACACAUAUAUCUUUUAGGGAUUAUACUUUCAUGCGUCAUGUAUAUAUGUCAUGUAUUAUAUUUUUGCAUAUUAUCUUAUGUACAUAUUAUCUUAUAUUAUUAUUACUAAGUGUAUUUUAUAUUUGUUCAUGACUUGUUUUUUUAUUAUUAUUUCUUUUGUAAAUAUCAUUGUUAUUGUUUUUCUAAUGCUCUAGUGUUCAUGUUAAUAUUUUUCAUUAAUAAUGUCAUUAUUUGCAUCGUUGAUUUACUUAAAAUUCUCACUUUAUAAAUAUCUUUCCCAUGUUUUAAUCAAUUUCAAUAAUCAAGGCAAUGUAUCGAUUUAACAUUAAGUCGUAAGUUUCAUCACUAUGUUGGAUGAAAUUUAUCAGCUCGUGUUAAAAUGGUAUACCCUUCUCAAAAACUAAAAAAACUAAAACUAAAACUUCUCGUCUUUGCAAUCGGAUCACGACUAAAUGUUGCAUUGAAUUCGUAUUUUUGAAAAUCAAGACAACACAUGUUUAUACGAUACCAGUUUUGGGCAUCGCGAGGGUGCUAAUACCUUCCUCGCGCGUAACCGACUCCCGAACCUUAAUUUUUCUCUGGAUUUUAACGUAGACCUAAACUGAGCCUUCUUUUGUUUAAAAAAUAGAUCUAAUAGGUGUCCGAUCACACCUAUAAAAAAUGGAUUGGUGGCGACUCCUUGUUUAUUCUAAAAUAAAAUUUUAGUUUCCAAGUUUUCAAUAGAUCGCCACAAUUAGCACCCCAAACUAAAAAUUUUUACGUCGCUACAGCUAGCGACUCCACUGGGGACCCUCAUUUUUGAGAGUCGAGUCGAAUUAAACGCGUGUUGUCAAAAUUUUCAAAAUUCCUUGUUCAAAUUAAUAUUUAGUCGUGAUCCUAAAAUUGUGUUUUUGAAAAGUCAUGCAUUUGCAUCGUGUUGUAUAUAUUCUUCUAACUUGUUUUGUCUGGUUGUUUUAAAGCUUUAAAUUCUUAUGGUUUUAGUUUUGGUUUAGUUUUUAAAUAAAACAUAAAGGUUUGUGAGUUUCUCCCUACACACUGUGCACGUGCAUUCUUGCAUAACAUGAGCUCUAUACCCGGGCUCCAUCCAUUUAAGUGAAAGUAAACGCUAUGCCUUCGUGAGUUAACUCAUCCCUCCGCACAGGCUAGUGAAUACUUUCGGGUUACAUAUGACUUAUGCUUUCGUGAGUUAACUUGUCCCUCCGCAUAGGCAUAAGUAAAUCUAAUCCCUCGAAUUGAACUCGUGAGCCUGUGAUGGGCUACGACCGAGGCUUCGAACUAAUCUUAGUAGAUGACAGUACGGACAAUUCGAGUGCCUAUCUAGAACCGAAACCGCAUAUAGUGAACCGUACGAGCCACCUAACUAGAGCCAUGCCGAACCUCCGUCCGUUAAUGGUCACCAAAAUUAGUACAUGGGAGAAACGCCUCUUGUCUCUCAUUUUCUUUACAAGUACACUGUUUAUGCAAAAGAACUGAAUCGGGUAGCUUAAUUUGUUUCUCAAUUUAUAAUUGUUGUGGUUACUAACCAAGUUUGCUUGUUUUUAUUUUUAUUUUACAUCAUGCAUUAUAGGCAUCAUAUUAGAAAGGUGUUGACUAGAGAUUUGGUUGCCAAAAAAUGGGUUUCUAAUGGAAGAGUUAAUUAUACAAACAACCGAGAAGAAUGCCGUGGUUCGGGACUGGUCUCUAAAAACUCAGAAAGAAAAAGGGGAUAGUCUAGUGGAGGGAUGUAUUGCCAAUCUGCCCGAGCACGUAACUGUUAAUGUUCGCCAGAAUAACCUUGAAGAUUUGGUUCGGGUUUGGAAUCAGUGGGACUUGGACACUAGGGUUAUUUUCACCGAGAGAUAUGGAGACAUAGCCAAUUUGAUUGCUAUCAACGUAGACGAACGAUUGAUCCAAGCCAUGGUCAGAUUUUAGGAUCCGGCUUACCAAUGUUUUACCUUCAAUCGAGAAGAUAUGACUCUAACUAUAGAAGAGUAUGUUGCUUUACUUCGUGUUGAAAAUGCACAAUUCCAUAAAGUUUAUGUGAAGGAGCCUAAGCCAAUGACCUUCAAGAAAAAGUUAGUGAGAUUGACAGACAUGACUGACGCAUGGGCUGAAAAAUAGAUAAAGAAGAAGAAUGAAACCAUUUGCAUCCCAUGGACUUUCCUAUGAGAUUUGGUUUUGAACUGUCCCGACAUGUUGAAAAGAGUAAAUCUAUUUGCUUUGGCCAUUUACGGUUUGAUCAUCUUCCCGAAAGUCCUUGGACACAGAAGUUACGAUGGUGGAUUUCUUCGAAAGACUAAAACAAGGAAUCAACCCUGUCCCAACUAUCUUGGCCGAGACCUUUAGAUCCUUAAACAAUUGUAGGAAAAUGGGGAAAGAACGCUUUAUCGGAUGCGCGCAGUUACUAAAUGUCUGGAUUUUGAGCCAUUUUUGGAAAGUAGAGCGCACACCGUACCACAUGUUUUCAAAAGCUUUCGCCUCGUUGGAAGCCUAUAUUGAGAGAGAAUAGCCAAAGGAUGUCACUGAAGAACAAUGGCUUUCAGUUUUUCAAAACCUUCGAGCUAAAGAUGUAACCUGAAGAGCACCGUGGAUUCGCCCUUCGGUUCUAUUAUACAAGGUUGGAAAUCAAGAUUAUUAUGGGGAGGAGUUGGGUAUGCCACGCUAUUAGUCCAAAGGUAAUUUUCUUCGCGACAAUUCAUACCCGCCACUGGAGGAUUAGCACAGUCCGAGUUUGCUUUUGCGGGUGAAGGGUAUAUGAAGAGGGUCCGAGAUACUGCAAAGUCUUGGAAGAAAAUUCAUCUCAUGGAAUUAGCUCUAUAUGCUGAUACCCUCACCCAAGAUUACGACAUCUGGAAGAAACAAUGGGUGAAUAGUCAGCAAAUCUCGUCAACGAACUACACCGUCCAAAAUCCUUUCUCGGAAGAAAUGCCAUCUGAGCUAGAAAUAGCAAGACAAGAAUUUGAACGAGAAAAGGCCAAGAUGUCUCGGGACCUUAGUGCUCUUCAAGAGGAAAACUACCAAUUGACGAUCGACGUUUAGAUUGAAAGAUCUAGAACCGAGAAAGUGCAAAAAGAAGUUGAAGUCAUGAGAAAUGACUUAAGGGACCUCCAUCUAGAAAAUAAAAAGUUAAGAGGCAUAAUAAAAAAUAGUGGGCUGGGCAAGUCGUCGGCAGAAUGGAAAGAAGAAAUAAGCAACAUUAAAGGUGGGAUGGAAUUUUGAAAAAGAAAAGAGAAGAAAGAGGAGGAAAAGGCUGCACAGGCUAUGAUAGAACUGAGGAAGAAGAACGCCGAAUAUGAAGCUGUGUCUGCCGAGGUAAUGACUAGUCGAUCUAAAUGUCAAGAACUAAAAGAGAGGAUACGAGAGUUAGAAGAUAUACUGCAAGAUCAUCAACAACAGCUAGAUACUCUCUUGAAAGCUUUGGAAGAAAAGAAUAGCCAAUAUGAUAGAGACAUUCGUGCUUACGAAGAGGGCCUCCAAGAAAAAGAAAUACAACUUAGCUUUUUGAUAAAUGAAAUUCGUGGGGUAGCCAUGCACGUGGUACAACUAUCAGAAGCAGAUGAAAUUCUCAUUUGCCAGUUCCCACCAAGUCGAAGAUAGAACAUAUCAGAAUUUUUAGCACGAGUAAAGAAAUACGGCAAUAUAGCUAGGAAGUUUGUGUAAUGGCUGAAUCAAAAAUGGCAAAAUGUUUUGUAAUGAACUCUUUUGAUGAAUGAAAUGCCUAAAUAGGGGCUAUCUUGAAAUCAACACCAAUUUCUUGCAUUUCCUUCAUGAUUGGCAUUCAUUUAUGCAUUCAUUCAUUGCAUAUCCCAUAAUCAUUCGCUAAGGUUAAAAUAUACAAUUCGUAGUUGUAAUACCACAAGCCUGGAACCACGUCAUUUGUAUAGAACGCGUCGACAAACUAGGGCAAUGGAGGCUGAAUUCAAUGAAAGAAUCGAAAGAAUGGAAAGAGUCCAAAGGGAAUUACAAGAGCAGUUGGCCAAGUCGCAACAAGAGACAAGAGAUUUAAUGGUGAUAUCUCAAGAAGAAUCACUCGAACAGAAGGAUCAAAUGGCCAAGAUGAUGGAAAUGAUGUCAGCUUUAGUUAAGGGAAAGGGACCCAUGCAGAGCCCUGGCAUCGAGAAACCUCAAUCAAGAGUUAAUCACAGUCAAGAUCCGCUUUAUCCCCCAGGAUUCACUCCGCCGCACGCCCAUGCAACACAAAGAGGGUACACCCAAAGGGAACCCACAGACAUGGAGCAACGGGCGGUGCCACCUGCUCACGUAGGACAAAGAAUGUUUAUAUCAAACCCAGGGGCUAGUCCUGCUGAUCCACUCGUUCUAGAUUUGGACGAUCCAGCAGAAAUAGCGAAGUUGAAUAUCGGUGAUCACGAGGUUCAAGAGAAGUAUAGGAGCUUAGAGGAAAGACUUAAAGCAAUAGAGGGUACUGAAGCCUUCUCUACACUGAGUGCCAAAGAGCUCAGUUUGGUACCCGAUCUGGUUCUGCCUCCAAAAUUUAAAGUACUAGAUUUCAAAAAAUACGAUGGCACGAGAUGUCCAAAGGCGCAUCUUGUCAUGUUUUGCCAGAAAAUGACUGGUUACGUGAAUCAAGACAAGCUACUCAUACAUUGUUUUCAGGAUAGUCUCGUAGGAUCGGCUCUUCGGUGGUACAACCAGCUUAGUAGGGAAAAGAUCCAAUCCUGGAAGGACUUGGCGUCAGCCUGCUGUGAGCAGUAUAAGCAUGUAUUGGAUAUGGUGCCUGAUCGAAUGACCCUACAAAUGAUGGAAAAGAAACCAGUAGAAACCUUUAGACAGUAUGCACAAAGGUGGAGAGAUGCCUCGGCCUAAGUAGAGCCUCCACUGACUAAGACUGAGUUAACAGUCCUUUUCAUCAAUACUCUGAGAGCACCAUUCUAUGACAAGCUAGUGAGAAGUGCCACGAAGGACUUUGCGGAUAUUGUAAUAUCUGGUGAGCUUAUAGAGAAUGCCAUCAAGAGCAGUAGAAUGGAGGGUCAAAAAAGUUCAAGAAAGGUAGCGCACAUGAAGAAGAAAGAACCAGAAGCCCAUAUGGUGGGAAUGGGAAGCCGUUAUACCCUUAAUCCAUAUCCAAACCAACCCCGACCUCGAAAUUAUCCUCCCCCAAAUUUCUAUUAUCCUCCUCAGACCCCUUACUACCAAGCACCACCUCCUUCCUACCCUGUAUAAGCCAUGAACAACCAAAGGCCCGUCACUACAUUCCCACAAAACAUUCUACCCACUCAAAACCAACCCAGAAAUGAACCAAGACCAACAAGACCCAAUCCCAAGAGUCCGCAAUUCACCCCUAUUCCUGUGUCGUAUGGGGAACUGUACCCAAAACUCUUGGAGAAGCAAUUAAUAUCUUCCCAUUACAUGGCACCCCUAAAACCUCCAUACCCGAAAUGGUACGAUCCAAAUGCUGGUUGUGCAUACCAUGCCGGGAACUAGGGGCACUCUACGAAAAACUACUUGGCCUUCAAAAAGAGAGUUCAAUGACUCAUCGAUGCGGGUAUUCUGCGAUUUGAUGGCACUAGCGGUACAUCCGGGAACCCAUUCCCAAACCACGCCGAAGGGAAUGUGAGCGUAGUGGGAGAGGAGGACAAACGACAAAGUAGAAUAUGGGUUUUUGAAAUAAGAACACCUCUGCAGAAAAUCUGGGAGGUGCUAGUUGAAAAGGGGUUGCUCUGUCAUCUUAACAGAGUAUUCAAGGGAAGAAAUACAAAAGAUCAAAGUUUUUGCGAAUUCCAUGGUAUUGAGGGGCACGACAUUCAAUCCUGCGAAGAGUUCAGGAGAUUACUGCAAAAUAUGAUGGACAAUAAGGAGAUUGGGAUUUUUUAUAAAGGCGAAGAGGCCGAUAGAGGAGAAAUAUGCGCCUCUGACCAUCAAUCGUCAGGUUUCCCGUAUAGCACCGACCGACCAUUAAUAAUUUAUUAUGACGCAAAGAAAGAGCCAGUGAAACCAAAAGUGAUAAUCGAGGUACCAUCUCCUUUCCCCUACAAGGACAAUAAAGCAGUACCAUGGAAAUAUGACGUCAAUAUCGUCACACCUGAAGAUGAAAAACCCAAAGCCAUGACUGGAAGUGUUGGGGAAGUAGGUCAUUUCACUCGUAGUGGAAGAUGUUAUUCCAAAGAGAUUGAGCCAGUGAAGAAGAAUAGUGACUUGAAACAGAAAGGAAAAGCACUGAUGCACGUGACCGAAGAUGAGCAUGAAACUGUGCCUGAACAAGAAGCUAAAAAGCCUGUGGACGAGGAGGAAGCACAGGAAUUCUUAAAAUUUAUCAAGCACAAUGAGUACAACGUGGUAGAACAAUUGCGUAAACAGCCAGCGCGAAUCUCGGUAUUAUCUCUACUGUUGAAUUUGAAACCUCACUGCAACGCCUUGUUAAAGGUGUUGAAUCAAGCUUACGUGGCAAACAAUAUAUCCGUUGAAAAACUGGAUAGGUGGGUGAACAACUUGAAUACGGAUAAUUUCAUUUCUUUUAGUGAUGAUGAAAUACUGCCCAAUGGUAGAGGCUCAGUGAAAGCAUUGCAUAUCACAACCCGUUGUAAGGGCUAUAUAAUAUCGAACGUGCUCAUCGACAAUGGAUCGGCACUCAAUGUCAUGCCUUUGGCCACACUUUCUAGGAUUCCGAUGGAUUUGUCCUAUCUAAGGCCCUGCCAUUCUACAGUAAGGGCAUUUAAUGGAAUAAGACGAGAAGUCAUGGGAAAAAACGAGAUCCCUCUAGAAGUGGGUCCCUAUAUAUAUGAUGUUGAGUUUCAAGUCAUGGACAUUACACCAUUACAAUUGUCUCUUGGGAAGACCUUGGAUCCAUUCUGCUGGAGCAGUCCCAUCAUCCCUUCAUCAAAAGGUGAAAUUCAUCAUGGAUGGCUGUUUGGUCACCGUCGAGGGAGAAGAAGAUAUUGUAGCAUCUAUUUUUACCGACGCACCAUACAUUGAAGUGAGUAAAGAUGCUUUAGAAUGUUCCUUCCGAUCCCUUAAAUUUGUCAAUGCCACAUUCGUCGCUGAGGGAAACAGAAUUCCCGCGCCAAAAUUGUCAAGAAAUACCAGGAUGGGUGUCAAACUGACUGUAGGAAGGGGAGCUUGAGUGAGAAAAGGUUUAGGGAGAUAUUUGUAAGGAAUAGUCAGGGCUCUAAAGCCAGUGCACCACAAGGCCCGAUACGGUUUGGGGUUCUAGCCGGAAAUGCGUCAAAGACAAAAAUAGUGGAAGAAGGAUCAGGAGAGAAGAAUUGCGAGAACUUUGGGCCGAGAAAUAGAAUGGGAGCCCAUAACAUACCCUCCUUUGUUAAAAACAUUUACAUUUGCGGGAAUGAUAUACCCCGGACAGGUUAAUAUACAAAGCACGCUGUUAUUAAUUGAAAGGGGUCUUCAGAAUGUUAGUAUAAAUGUCAUUGACAAAGGAAGUGAGGCUAUUAAAGAUGUUUCAACGAUACGCCCUUAUCCUCCUGGUUUCAUGUUGAACAAUUGGACUACUGAGGACCUUCUUGUAGUUUAUAAGUCUUCAGAGUAAUGCUCAAACAUUAACCCUAUAUUGUGUCCUUAGAUAUAAUAGAAUUCUUUUGUAAGAGCUUGCAUUCACUCUUUAUCAUUUAAAUGAAUAUCAAUGAAGAUGCAUUUUGUCACGAUCUUUCGCAUUAUCACUAAUUUCAUAAUCAUCUCCUCAUUUCAUAGCCUAUCUAUACAUUUGCCUCAUACCAUGCCAUAACAUUUCGUUUGUUGGUCCAAUACUUGGAUGCCCCUCUAUAGUUUCCUUUUCCAUUCAACUUUCAGGUGCUCGGAUAUCAACAGCAUGAACAAACCCGUUACGAGUCCUAAAAUCGAUUUUGAGAAGACUGUUUGUUUAGGAGAAUUUGAAGUCGAAGAAAAUGCUGAAGACUAUGUCUCGUCUCCUGACUUGCUAAGAAUGGUGGAACAAGAGGAUAAACAAAUUUUACCUCAUCAAGAAUCUGUUGAAACAAUAAAUUUGGGAACUGAAGAAAAGAAACAAGAAGUGAAAAUUGAGACUUCUAUUUCAGAGGACACCAAGCAUAAUUUGAUUGCUUUGCUCCGCGAGUACAAAGAUGUAUUCGCCUGGUCAUAUCAAGACAUGCCAGGAUUGGAGAAGAUGUAGUGGUCCAUAAGCUCCCAUUAAAGCCAGAAUGCAAACCCGUUCAACAAAAGUUAAGACGGAUGAGACCCAAAAUGUUGUUGAAAAUAAAAGAGGAAGUCAAGAAGCAAUUUGAUGAUGGCUUCCUACAAGCAUCCAAAUAUCCAGAAUGGGUGGCUAAUAUAGUCCCGGUACCAAAGAAAGACGGCAAAGUACGAAUGUGCGUGGAUUAUCGUGACCUAAAUCGAGCAAGUCCCAAAGAUAAUUUUCCCUUACCACACAUUGAUACGUUGGUGGAUAACACAGCAAAGCACUCUUUGUUUUCUUUCAUGGAUGGAUUCUCGGGGUAUAAUCAGAUCAAGAUGGCCCCUGAAGAUAUGGAGAAAACUACUUUUGUAACAAUGUGGGGAACAUUCUGCUACAAGGUGAUGCCAUUUGGGUUAAAGAAUACUGGGGUAACAUAUCAGAGGGCUAUGGUAACAUUAUUCCAUGACAUGAUGCAUAAAGAAAUAGAGGUCUACGUCGAUGAUAUGAUUGCUAAGUCCCGAGGGGAAGAAGAGCAUGUAGCGAACCUAAAGAAGUUGUUCGACAUUCUGAGAAAGUUCCAGCUAAAGCUCAAUCCGGCCAAAUGUAUGUUUGGGGGUACCUUAGGAAAAUUGCUUGGCUUCAUUGUCAGUGAGAGAGGCAUUGAAAUUGAUCCAGAUAAAAUAAAAGCCAUUCAAGAGUUACCACCCCCGCGCACGCAAAAGGAAGUCAGAGGAUUUUUAAGGAGAUUAAACUACAUCGCCCGAUUUAUCGCUCAACUUACCAACCAAUGCGACCCAAUCUUUCGACUCCUUCGAAAACAUAAUCCUGGAGAAUGGAACGAGGAGUGUCAAGUGGCUUUUGACAAGAUAAAACAGUAUUUGUCUAAUCCUCCAGUGCUAGUACCACCAAUGCUGGGAAGACCAUUGAUAUUGUAUUUGACUGUGUUCGAGAAUUCAAUGGGUUGCGUACUGGGGCAACAUGACGAGUCAGGAAAGAAAGAAAAGGCGAUCUACUACCUCAGCAAAAAGUUUACUGAAUAUGAGGCAAAGUAUUCAUCCGUAGAAAAAUACUGCUGUGCUCUGGUUUGGGUAGCUCGGAGACUCAGGCAAUAUAUGCUGUAUCAUACGACAUGGCUAAUUUCAAAGUUGGACCCAAUAAAGUACAUGAUGGAAUCACCCGCACUCUUAGGAAGAAUGGCACGAUGACAGAUCUUACUAUCAGAAUAUGACAUCGUCUAUGUGAGCCAAAAGUCGAUAAAAGGGAGUGCAAUAGCUGACUUCUUAGCAACUCGAACAACGGAGGAAUACGAGCCAUUGAAAUUUGAUUUCCCAGAUGAAGACUUAAUGUGCAUUAUAGAAAAAGAAUGUGAGUCAUCAAAAGAAAAGUCAUGGAAGAUGAGCUUUGAUGGUGCAUCAAAUGCAUUGGGGCAUGGGAUUGGAGCAGUCUUAGUAUCACCAGAAGGGAACCAUUAUCCGUUCACUGCCAGGCUGAAUUUCUUCUGUACCAAUAACAUAGCGAAAUAUGAAGCCUGUAUCAUGGGACUUCGUGCAGCAAUUGAACGAAACAUCCAAACUUUAGAGGUAUACGGAGACUUAGCAUUGGUGAUUUAUCAGAUCCGUGGAGAUUGGGAAGUGGGGGAUUUAAAAUUAGUCAAAUACAGUGAUCUCGUGGCAGGGUUGAUUAAAGAAUUCAAAGAAAUAACUUUUAAUUACUUCCCACGAGAAGAAAACCAGUUAGCUGAUACCCUGGCCACUUUGGCUUCAAUGUUUAAAGUAAACAGAGAAACAGAAAUAAUGCCUCUUCAAAUGAGCAUAUAUGAAGUCCCUGCACAUUGUUUCAGCAUUGAGAAAGAGCCAGAUGGGCAACCAUGGUUCCAUGAUAUCUUAGAAUACAUCAAGAAUCAAAGGUAUCCCGAACAAGCAAAUGUGAACGACAGAAGAACAAUCAGAAGAAUGGCAGCGAGAUUUAUUCUUGAUGGAGACAUCCUAUACAAAAGAGGAAAAGAUCAGGUGCUCUUGAGAUGCGUGGAUGCUGUAGAAGCCAGAAAAAUACUUGAAGAUGUCCAUGAAGGAAUUUGUGAGACACACGCUAAUGGUUUCACUAUGGCCAGGAAAAUUAUGAGACUCGGUUAUUACUGACUGACGAUGGAAAGUGACUGCAUUAGUUUCACACGGAAAUGCCACAAAUGUCAAAUUUAUGGUGAUAAAAUUCAUGUAGCUCCUUCGCCCCUUCAUGUCAUGGCUUCUCCGUGGCCUUUUCUUAUGUGGGGCAUGGAUGUUAUAGGGCCAAUCUCUCUAAAAGCUUCUAAUGGACACCGGUUCAUUUUUGUGGUCAUUGAUUACUUUACAAAAUGGAUAGAAGCUGCUUCAUUUGCCAAUGUGACGAAGGCUACAGUUUGUAGGCUUUUGAAAAAGGAAAUCAUUUGUCGAUAUGGUUUGCCUGAAAGAAUCAUUUCAGAUAACGCCAUGAAUCUGAACAAUAAGAUGAUGAAUGAGGUGUGUGAACAAUUCCAAAUAAAGUAUCAUAACUCAUCACCCUAUCGCCCGAAAAUGAACGGAGCUGUUGAAGCGGCCAACAAGAAUAUUAAGAUGAUUAUUGGGAAAAUGAUCGAGACAUAUAAAGACUGGCACGAGAAGCUACCAUUUGCUUUGUAUGCAUAUUGUACAUAUGUGCGAACAUCUAUGGGAGCAACUCCUUUCUCUCUGGUCUAUGGCAUGGAAGCUGUGCAACCCAUCGAAGUUGAGAUCUCCUCUCUACGAGUCUUAAUGGAAUCAAAACUAGAAGAAAAAGAAUGGGUUCGAGCUCGAUAUGACCAGUUAAACCUUAUUGAAGAAAAACGUAUGAAGGCAAUCUGCGAUGGACAGAUGUACUAGAAGAGAAUGAUCGCAGCCCAUGAUAAGAAAGUACGGCCAAGAGAAUUCCACGAAGAAGGACUCGUGCUGAGAAAGAUUCUCCCAAUACAAAAAGACUUCCGAGGAAAGUGGGCACCAAAUUGGGAAGGACCAUACGUCGUAAAGAAGGCAUUCUCAGGUGGAGCUUUGAUUCUCACCGAGAUGGAUGGGAAGGAGUUACCGAAUCCAGUGAAUUCAGAUGCUGUGAAGAAAUAUUAUGCUUGAAAAAAGAAAAUCAAGAUGAAAACCCAAAAGGGCAUCUUAAAAAAAAUAGGAUCAAGGUGAAAAUCUGAAAAAGGGCGUCUUGAUUAACACAAAAGAUUAGGAUGAAAACCCGAAAAGGGCAUCCUAACGAAACAAACACUGGACUUAAAGAGCAAGGCAUUUUGAACAGUGGGUCAAACAGCGAGACUACAGUAUUUGAAGCAUUUUUGAAAGCUCGAAAUCUUCUACGCAAGAAGCCAUGCUCUAAAAGAUUCUAGAUGAAGGAACGUAGAAGAGUUCAUAUGUUGAAUAUCUAGAGCAUUUGUAUCCGUUGAAUGCGAUCCAUUUUCUCUUGAUGACACUUUUUACUAUCAUUGAUUAACUUUCUUUGUUUGCUACAUUUGAAAUAAAUAAAUGUGAGGUAGCCUUUUUGUCCCUACCUAACCAUUUUCAUGCAUCUUAUUAUGUGUUUAUUUACAUGAUAAAUAAUGAAAUGACAUACUCUAAACAAAAGAAAUGUUAAGCAUUACUUGAAUGAAAAUUUGACAAAUACAAGAGCCUCAAAGUAAGGACAAAGUUCAACCAGGAACAAAAGAGUGAUAUCUGAGAAACGUCGAUUACUCGCGAAGCUUGAAGACGGGUACAAAGCUUGAAGAGAAAGUCAAGAGUCAAAGUAAUGAACGUAGAUCAUCAAAAAUCGUGACGAAAAAGGGGCAUACGAUAAACAUGCCUAAGGCGCAUAGCAUAAUCAUGUAGGCAUAAAGGCAUUUAAGAUAAACAUGUGCAUAUCAUGAUGACAUCAUGCAUGACAUAUACAGGUAUUCCAGUAGAGCAAGAGGGUGUGGUGAUAGUUGUACUGAAUCAAAGGAAAAGACAUUUGAUUUCUACCAAUGACAGGUUUUGGUAUUUUGAUGUUUUAAUUCAUGUUUUCAAAAAUCAACUCAUAUUGCGAGAGGAGAGUUCAGCCUUUUAAUUUCUGUUUUUAAUUUAUACUUUUCAAAAAUCAACUCAUAUUGCGAGAGGUGAGUUGAACCUCGGGGCACGCUGAGGUAAUUUUAAUUUCUGUUUUUCAAAAAAAUCAACUCACAUUGCGAGAUAUGAGUUGAACCUCGGUUCACAUGUUCUGUUCUUUCAAUUUAUGUUUCAAAAGAAUCAGCUCAUAUUGCGAGAGGUGAGUUGAGCCUCAAGACACGCUGAGGUAAUUUCAAUUUCUGUUUCUGCUUUUCAAAAAUCAACUCAUAUUGCGAGAGGUGAGUUGAGCCUCAGGACACGCUGAGGUAUUUUCAAUUUCUAUUCUUCCAAUUUCUGUUUUAAUUCAUGUUUCCAAAAUCAACUCAUAUUGCGAGAGGUGAGUUGAGCCUCGGGGCACGCUGAGGUAAUUUCAAUUUCUAUUUUCCAUUUCUGUUUUUCAAAAAUCAACUCAUAUUGCGAGAAGUGAGUUGAGCCUUUUAAUUUCUGUUUUUCAAAAAGUCAACUCAUAUUGCGAGAGGUGAGUUGAGCCUUUUAAUUUUUGUUUUUCAAAAAGUCAACACAUAUUGCAAGAGGUGAGUUGAGCCUUUUAAUUUUUGUUUUUCAAAAAGUCAACACAUAUUGCAAGAGGUGAGUUAAGCCUUUUAAUUUCUGUUUUUCAAAAAGUCAACUCAUAUUGCGAGAGGUGAGUUGAGCCUUUUAAUAUCUAUUUUUAAAGAGUCAAUUCAUAUUGCGAGAAAUGAGUUGAGCUCAAGAUCACAUGCCGAGCAAGAAUAAAGAUUGAAGCUGAUGAAAGACACCAUUUGGCCUCCUUGAAGUUGCAGUAAAGUAGGUCAAAGUUACAAGUCUCGUCCCCCUGAAGUUGCAGUAGAGCUGAUCGAAGAUAUCAAAGCUUGCCUUUUUAGAGUUACAGAAGAGAAGAUCACAAACCCUAUCUCACUGAAGCGAUAGAAGAGCAGAUUGAAGCUGUAGACCUCAUCUUUCUGAAGCUGCAUGGAAGCAGAUCAAAGCUACAAAUCUCAUAUCUUUGAAGUUACAUUGAAGUAGAUUGAAGCUACAAAGCAUAUAUCAGAAGAUGCAAUGGACCAAAGCUACAAGAUACGAUGGACUGGAAGAAGACUAUUUGAACAAGAAGAACACCAAUGAAGUCAAGACUCAGCAAGACUAGGCAAAAUUGACCUUUCAUUAUGUCUUUGCUCCAUUCCCGUUGCACGACAAUGAGCAAAGAGGGGCAGCUGUACAGGCCAAUUUUGGACCCAAUACAACAAAACAUUAACCCAACCUCAACUCAUUUACAUCAGACCCAAUAACCCCCAAACCUUAACCCAAAUCAAACCCAUUCCCAAUACAUUACCCAAAUCAUUAAGCCCAUUAUCCAAACCCUACCCAAUCAGCUACCCGGAGCCCAAUGUUACCCACAAGCCCGUUUGCAAUAUUCAGCCCCAACCCACCUAAACCCAAAUCUACCUAUAACCUAAACACUCAACCCCAAGCCCAGAAGCCCAAUUUUAGACAUUAAGGUUUCAGUUUCUGAAACCCUAAACCUGCCUAGCGCCGCACCACCCCCACCAACCCUCUGACGGCCCCAUGCCCUCUGACGUUGCCUCAACAACCGCUCCACCGUCCUCCAUAUUGCACCAUCCCCUGCAAGCAUUAAAAGAGAAUAGACAGCAAGCAAGAAGAGAGCAGUAUAUAAUCAAAACAUACAAUGUAAAAAGGGGGUUCCUUUUUUCGUCAGUUUUGAAAACAAAAAGAAAUAAGAACAAACCAUUUUAAAUAUUAAGCAACAAUAGCAUUUCCCUCAGUACUUAGACACAAAAAAAUAGCAACCAAGCAAAAAGAACAUCUCAGAUCAAAGAAACAGAAACUAAAACCGAAAGGUGAUUAUUUUUUUCCUAUUUCUAUUUCAUUUUUUUAACCUGUUUUAAUCUACCAUACAUAUUAAAAUAUAAUAAGAUAAUAAAAAAAUAACAAAAAAUGAACCUUUUUGAACUUUCGACCACCGUGUACGGUGGCCGGAGCCGGUGCCGGCGUCGACGAGCCUCCAAUGACCGUCCGGUGACCGGUUUCCCCACCGAAAAUCACCCCGUGCUCCCCUCUCCCUCAUUUUUUUUUCUUUUCCCUGUCCAAAUGUUUUUUUUUUCAGAUUUUUAGGCUAUUUAUAGCCUACCAAAACGGCACCGUUUUGGUACCAAAAUGGCACCGUUUUGGUGCCCAAACUUAGACUAAAAAAUGACGUCGUUUUACUUGGCCCGACCCGAUUCGACCCGAACCCGCUUCAGGAUCCGCGUGUUUUUAACUCAAUGGGAUAUUUGUGCAAUCGGUCCUUCCGCAUUUUUGUGUUUUAAAUCAAGUUUAUAUUUAUUUAUAAAUCGGCCCUAAAAUUUAAUCUGAUUUGCGAUCUAGUCCCUCCGUGCUGCACAGCGUUUUGGUGAAAGGGAAUAUUUGCUGUUUUAACCCUCCUAAGUUAUGCGCGCGUGGCAUUUUGGUCCUUCCCUGCUAUUUUAUUUCUAAUUUCGCCCCAAAAUGUUGUUUUAAGUUCAAUUUAGUCCUUUGGUUAAUUUACUGCUUUAUUUUUAAUUUACUUGUUUUCAUUUUCUGUAUUUUAUUUGUUAUAAUAUUUAUAUUUGUUAUAUUAAAUGUAUUUAUUAUAUGUCUUUUAAAUAUUAUGUUAUAUAUAUGUAUUUUCAAUAUUGUUGUUAUAUUUAUUAUUAUUAUAUAUAUUUGUUCUAGUAUAUAUGUAUAUAUUUACACGUAUAGGUUUAUUUUUAUUUCAAUAUCUUUAUUAUAUUUGUUUUUGGUAUUUUAAUAAUAUUGUUAUAUUAUUAUAAUAGUGUAUACUUUUAUUUAUGUACAUAGAUUUAUAUAUAUGAUGUAUUUUUGUUAUAUUAUAUUGUAUUUUAAUAUCGUUACUAUUAUAAUUGCUAACAUAGUGAAUGCCUUGUUAUAUAUGUAUAUGUUUUUAUGUCAUCAUUGUUGAUUAUCAUUAACUUUAAUAUGUGUCUCAUUAUAUGUCCUUAAAUAUACAUAUAGAUAUAUAUACAUGCAAUAUUAUAAUAGUUUUCUUUGACAUCAUUAUCUCCAAUAUAUGUAUAUGUUAUGUAAAUAUUUUAAUGUCAUAUUAUAUAUACAUUUUUACACUAUGCAUACAUACUUUUAACAUUAUAUUUUAUAUGUAUACUCUUAACAUCAUAUUAUAUAUAUCUUGCACAAAAUUUUUAAUACUUUACUAUAUAUAUACCUUUAUAUAUUAUAUGUAUAUUUUAGUAUUGUGUUUUUAUAUCUAUGUUUUAAUACCAUACUAUAUAUAUUAUUAUAUUUUAUUACAUAAUUAGUACCCAUGUUUUAUUAUACAUAUAUAUACUCUUUUAUUUGUGUUAUUUUCGUAUGUCAUAUUAUUCAUUUUUAUACUCAUUAUUUUCAUUAUUGCCACUUAUAUAUUAUUAUUUGGUGUACAUACAUCUUUUAUUAUUAUUAGUAUAUAAAUGUAUUUUCCUUGUCUAUAUUGUUCCUAAUAUAUAUUGCACAUGUUCAUUCAUACUAUGUGUACAUGUAUCUAGUAUAUAUAUAUUUAGUAUUAUUACACAUAUCUUUUAGGCAUUAUACUUUCAUGCGUCAUGUAUAUAUGUCAUGUAUUAUAUUUUUGCAUAUUAUCUUAUGUACAUAUUAUCUUAUAUUAUUAUUACUAAGUGUAUUUUAUAUUUGUUCAUGACUUGUUUAUUAUUACUAUUAUUUCUUUUGUAAAUAUCAUUGUUAUUGUUUUUCUAAUGCUCUAGUGUUCAUAUUAAUAUUUUUCAUUAAUAAUGUCAUUAUUUGCAUCGUUGAUUUACUUAAAAUUCUCACUUUAUAAAUAUCUUUCCCAUGUUUUAAUCAAUUUCAAUAAUCAAGGCAAUGUAUCGAUUUAACAUUAAGUCGUAAGUUUCAUCGCUAUGUUGGAUGAAAUUUAUCAGCUCGUGUUAAAAUGGUAUACCCUUCUCAAAAACUGAAAAAACUAAAACUAAAACUUCUCGUCUUUGCAAUCGAAUCACGACUAAAUGUUGCAUUGAAUUCGUAUUUUUGAAAAUCAAGACAACACAUGUUUAUACGAUACCAAUUUUGGGCGUCGUGAGGGUGCUAAUACCUUCCUCGCGCGUAACUGACUCCCGAACCCUAAUUUUUCACUGGAUUUUAACGUAGACGUAAACUCGGCCUUCUUUUGUUUAAAAAAUAGAUCUAAUAGGUGUCCGAUCACACCUAUAAAAAAGGGAUCGGUGGCGACUCCUUGUUUAUUCUAAAAUAAAAUUUCAGUUUCCAAGUUUUCAAUAGAUCGCCACAAUUAGCGACCCCAAACUAAAAAUUUUUACGUCGCUACAAUGUGUUUCAUGUUUCAAUGUUAAGGCGCUACCACUCUGAUCCCAUGCACAUCGUCCCCGUUAAGGAGAUUGAGGUUAGGCCAGAUCUGACCUUUAAGGAGGAACUGGUUUAGAUUUUGGAUCGCGACGUUAAGAUUUUGAGAAGGAAAUUUAUUCCACUGGUUAAGGUUCUUUGUCGUAAUUAUAACAUUGAGGAGGCUACAUGGGAGCCUGAGGAUACUAUGCGUCAGUGAUAUCCUCAUCUAUUCUAAUCAGGUAAAUUUCGAGGCCGAAAUUUUCUUUUAAGGGGUAGAGUUGUAAUGCCUAGAAAAUCUCAUAUUUAUGUCCUGUUAAAAUAUGACACAACUGUGCAUCUGCUUCAGUGGUUAAGUGUUCUAGCUGUGUAUGUGAGGUCCCUAGUUCAAGUCAUGGUUUGGGCAAAAAUUUGUUUUUCUUCUAAAUCAAGCCCUAUCUCUGGUCGUAGGUAAUUCCAUAAUAAAAUGGGCCUACUGGUCUGCAAGCUAGGGUGUGUGUUGGCAGGUAGGAGGUUUGGAGUUCAAGUCCUUGUGUGAACAAGGAUAUUAUUUUUUGUGUGAUCAAUUUUCCUAUUUCCCCAAAAUUUUCUUUUCUUUCUGACCUCAGAAUCCUUUCCUUACUUUCUCUCUACCGAAUUUUGCUUUUUGCUCCACCUCUUUGUUUAGUUUUUCUUUUGGUUUUCAGUCUGAUCAGUGAUUGAAGGCGUGUUUUGUAAGUAUAUUUUUGUCCCUAUUUUAUCGUUGCGUGGCUAGUUGUUUUAAAAGGAUUUUGGUUUGCUGUUGGUAAAUAUUUAGAGUACGUUUUUGAUCUUCUAACGGUUCAAUUAUUAAAUAUUUUGGUUUAGUGUUUGCUUGUAUUACUAAAGUUGGACCUUGGUAAUGUCAAUCAUAGGGUCUAGAAUACGAGAUUGUGUUUUGAGAGCGAAAACGAACCAGGUGUGUACUCGAAACUGUAAAAAAAUGAGGUUUUGACGAAAGCCAAAAACCAUUCUAUCGACGCCACAUGGGAGUGUGGUCACCCGUGUGGUAGGCCGUGUGAUAGAACAAGGGCGUGUGAUCGAGGAGCCAGGCUGCGCACAUUAGACACUGCCGUAUGAUGGCUAGGUGGGCCGUGUACGACACAAGAGCUUAACCAACUUGGGCCGUGUGAGCUACACGAGCGUGUGGGAAUUUGAGCCAGGCCGUGUGAUCACAUGGCCAAGGCCAAUCUCUGCCGUGUGGGCUACACGGGCAUGUGGGCCCAUACGGGCAAGCCAAAUGGGCGUGUAAGCCCAUUUUACUGAAAUGUUUCCUAAAGUUGCAUGGGUCGCCCAAGUCGAUUAUGAACCUGUUGUAGGGUCGGUAAGAACUACUUAGACCCCUAGCUGACUGAAAUGACUGUUUGGCUGACGUAUAUAUAUUUACAUGUUAUCGAGGAUGAUGAUAUUUAAUGAAUUGAUAUUGUAUGCACUGUUGCCAUGAUAUAGUAUAUUAUUAUUGUAUGUUGCAUUGCAUUGGGAUAGGGGUUGGUAUUGUUUGGAGGAAGUGUACUGAAAUGCCUCGGGCCUAAUUUACUGGCAGCUCAGCGCAAAUCACUGUUUAGUGCCGCAUUCAGUACUUUUGGGAGUGUAGUGAUGGGUGGGUUGAUUAUAUCCCCACAUGGAGUGUAGGGUUAGACGGAGAUGGUGUGUAGAGGCUGGCUGGGUAGGAUUUUGUGACUGCAUAUCUAUUAAUGCUACUGAUAUGUUGAUGGGCUAAGGCCCAAUUGCAUGACUAAUACUGUUACUGAAAAUGGCUUAGGCCCAUGCUGCAAUCUUGUGCAUAUUGUCUGUUUGUUUAUAUGGGGAUUACACACUGAAUUUACGUAAACUCACCUCUUUGGUUUAACCUAUCCAGGUAAUCCCCAGACUUGACGGAUCGGUGCAGCGGAGGACUCGAUGGUGGCACACGAUCUCUUGACACUGUUUCGCACUUAUUUAUGAUUUUAGGUUUUAUUUUGGUAUUUUAUUGUAAAUAUGGCCUCUAUGGAUUUUUAUUUUAGUUUGGGAUUUUUGUUGGUUUCGAUUUAUUACUGCUAGUAUUAGGAAAACUCAGGUUUUCAAAAGAAACAACGUUUCAACAAAAUACACACAAAUACGCAAAUUGUUUUAAAAGCUUCCACUUUGAAUAAACGUUUUGAAAACUUUCUACUGAUUAAAUAACACAAUUUUAGAGUUAAUAAGUAAUAAUGAAAAGUUUAUAAACGGAAAUUGUUUUAAGCAAAGUUACGUUUUUUUUAAAUACCCUACCAUGUGACAUCGCCUGAUCCGAUCAUAGUGUCCAAGCCGAGUUUGAGGUGUUACAAAUGUAACAUUUCCAUUAGAAUGAGUCUAAAAUAAGUUGUACUCUUUUCCUUUAACCAAUGUUUUUUCCCAUUGGAUUUUCCUGAUGAAGGUUUUUAAUGAGGCAGCUUGUAAUAGAAGACUGUGUACUCUUUUCCUUCAUUAGGUUUUUAUCCCACAGGGUUUUUCCUAAUAAGGUUUUAACGAGGCACAUUAUCUACCAAUGGGCAUCCAAGGGAGAGUGUUAUGAAUAUCUUAUUAAGUGGAUGUUCAUCAUGAUCAAGGUAAAGUUUUGGUAUACUUUAAAUUCUAAUAGUUAUUAGAAUUAGAUCUCUACUUCUUUUAUACUUCUUAUGCCUAUAAAUAGAGACUCUGAUGAAGACUGUAAUCAUCCCUUUGAUUAAUAAAGUACAUUCUUUAUUGCUUUCAUAUUUUUUUUAUUCUUUAUUCUCUCCAUCUUUCUUUAUUUUAUAACAAAUUUGAUUUUUUUUUAAAUUUAGUUAAUUUAUAUUUGUAAUUAAAUUUUUGUCUACAUAUAGCAACUAUUACUAAUUCAGCUUUAUUAUUGUCCAUUACAGUAAUGUUUUUUCUUCUAUUCACUUUAUUUAAACAUUUUAAUUAAAAUGUUUUUAGAAAAUUAGAAAUUAGACACUUCAAAUGACAUUAUUAGGUACAGUAAAUUUUUUUAUUAAAAUGUUUUUACUUUUUAUUUUACAUUGUUAGAUUUUAUUGUAUUUAUGAUUUAUAAGUUUGAUUUUUUAUAAUUACAUUAGCCACAUUGCCCCUAAUUUUUAUCAAAUACAAAAAGUUCAUUGAAUGAUAAGAAACUAAUUACAACUUCGAAUAUUUUAGGAAUACUUGUACAUUCUCUUUUAGCUCAAAUAAAGGAAUUGAUGUUUCAUUCUUAUCCUUAUGGAUAGGCUAAUAAAUAAAAAGAAAUAAAAAACAAUAUAUCAUUGAAAUUCUCAAUUUUUGAAGAGAUUUUUUUAUUUAUUUUACUUCGGAUGAGCCGAGACAAUAGGAUGAACAACAAGGGUUCUGUAUCGUGAACUUUGUAUCGCGCACAUCACUUAGAUGAACUCUAGAGAGUCGCAUAGAAGAGAAUGAAAAAAUGGAAUAGGAAAGGGGAUCGGAUUCUAUUUGUCCUGUAACUGAGAUGAGUCUUGGUUAUUUCUAUCCUUGAACUCCUCUAAAUCCGACUUUUUGUUGGGCAACAUGACAUAAUUAAAAAUUUAAAGUUUUCUCGCAUAUUAAUUUUUUUUCAUACAAAAAGUUUCAAAAAAAAAAAACAAGAUAACUUCUUAAAAAUAUACUUUAUUUAAGGUUUGUGUAAAAAUAAAAGACAAUUGUAAGCCUUACUAAACAUUUAGGCUAUUUUCAUCACUAAUUCUUCUAUUUAUUAUUUAUAAUAUAAAAACUUCCAAUUUAGACUAAUUAAAUAAGUAUAAUUCAAGGUUUCUGAAUUAUUAGAAUAAUUAGAACAGUGAUUUUUUCCUUCGUAUUAAUAAUUUAAUUUAGUUUAUUAGUUGAUAUUCUGAAGUUACUUUAAUAUAAUUUUAUAACUAUCAAUUCUUAAUAAUUUUCUUUCUUUUAAGAAAAUCUUUAUUUUAAUCUAUCAAAAUCAUGACCUCGUAUCGCUAUUCUAAUUAUUUGACGGAUUCUUGAAUAAAACUGGGUUCAGAUGAAUUUUUGACGGGUUUUUGAAUUUUCUAUCACCAAAUUUAUUGAGUCAAGAAUAAAAUAGAUGAAUAUAUUUAUAAGUUUUUUUAAAAAAAAGUCAAAGAAAUAAUAUUUAGCCAUUAUUUUUGGAUUUUUUUAAUUAAAAAUUGUCACCUGUCACAAAAUAAUUGGCCAAGAGAUUUUUUUUUUAACAACUGGGGUAAUUUGAGUAAUGCUGUACCAUUUUAUUGUUUAAAUCUUAAAAUUGUUAUUCAAAUUAUGAUGGUAAAGAUAAUUAUAUAAUUAUUUUUCUUACAUGAUGUCUAAAAACUAGUUAAAAUUUUGUGAAAGUUAAAAUACAUAAAUUAAUAAACUUUUUUUAAUGUUGAAUGUUUAAUAUAAAUGAAAUUAACAUAGAAAUACUUUUAACUCACAAAUAUCACAAUUCAAAUAUAUACAUUAUUUAAAAGUUAAACUUAACAUAUCAUUAAUAUAAAAACAAAACUCACCUAAACAUAUACGUGGCAGAUCCAACUACGGUGGAGGCAUGAGCUUGUCUUCAAGUUUUAAUUGUGGUAGAAGAGUUACGGUUCUAAAAACUGGUGGCUGAGGGGGAUUCUGAAAAAAGCAUAGUCACUAAAGGAGGAUAGAUCGAGCAUCGCCACUUUGAUUAGAGAAAUAAAGGAGAGAGAAAAGAGAUUUGAAUAGCUCAAUUUCAGAUCUGUACCUAGGUCGAUGAAUCGGGUGGCUCAUACUCUGGCAGAUGAAGGAAGGGCCUUGUCGUCUCUUAGGUAUUGGAUAGAAGAGGCAUCGACAAGGGUGGAGGAGGAAGUUGAUAGGGACCGAAGAGGUUUGUUGUGAAGGGACUGAAGGAAGAAAGUGGAUGGGGUAGAGGAAAUGGAAUCUUGGGGACUCCGACGGUUCAGAUCUACAAGGAUCCCUCGCAUUCUCAGUAAUUCAUCAAUCUGAUGGAAGCAAGACGAGGGAUUUCUAAUGUUACUCUGACUAAUGAACGAGUUCAUGAAGAAGAAGGUUGCGAUUUGGUUAGGAGUGUCGAUUCAGGUUUUAGGAUUUUUCUUUCUGAUUUUUGUUUUA